AUCACUAAGCGGAGGAAAAGAAACUAACAAGGAUUCCCUUAGUAACGGCGAGUGAACCGGGAAGAGCCCAGCACCGAAUCCCCUGCAUCGACUGUAGCGGGAACUGUGGUGUUUAGGAGAGCCUGUGGAGCGGGUGGAGGCGUCCGAGUCCUCACGAACGGGGCCUUUGCCAGAGCGGGUGUCAGUCCUCUAGGACGCAGCCAUCCCGUUGCUCAGUACCUCCUAGGAGUCGGGUUGUUUGAGAUUGCAGCCCAAAGCGGGUGGUAAACUCCAUCUAAGGCUAAAUACUGGCACGAGACCGAUAGCAAACAAGUACCGUGAGGGAAAGUU
rnacentral:rRNA from 1 species